rnacentral:rRNA from 1 species
GAUGAACGCUAGCGGCAGGCUUAAUACAUGCAAGUUGAGGGGCAGCAUGAUAUACGCGAGUAUAUUGAUGGCGACCGGCGGACGGGUGAGUAAUAGGUAGGAGACCUACCUCAUACAGGGGGAUAGCAUAGAGAAAUCUGUGGUAAUACCCCAUGAGGUUAUAUGAAUAGAGGCAUAUAAUCAAAGCAUAAGUGAUUAUGCGGUAUGAGAGGGGCCUACUGACCAUUAGCUAGUUGGUGAGGUAAGGGCUCACCAAGGCGAAGAUGGUUAGGGGUUUUGAGAGAGAGACCCCCCACAUUGGAACUGAGAGACGGUCCAGACUCCUACGGGAGGCAGCAGUAGGGAAUAUUGGGCAAUGGGGCGAAAGCCUGACCCAGCCAUGCCGCGUGAAGGAAGACGGCCUUAUGGGUUGUAAACUUCUUUACUACGCGAAUAGAGGUUAGUACGAGACACUAAUAGGAAGGUAGUGUAGUAAAAAGCACCGGCUAACUCCGUG